CCAAGGAGUCUAACGGGCCCGCGAGUCAAGGGGCGACUGAAACCCCACGGCGCAAUGAAGGUGAAGGUCGGCUCGGUCGACCGAGGUGGGAUCCUCCCCCCUUCACGGGGGAGGCGCACCACCGCCCCGCCAUAUCCGCUCCGUUCGGUGUGGCGGAGGCAGAGCGGGCACGCUAGGACCCGAAAGAUGGUGAACUAUGCCCGAGCAGGAUGAAGCCAGAGGAAACUCUGGUGGAGGUCCGCAGCGAUUCUGACGUGCAAAUCGAUCGUCCGACUUGGGUAUAGGGGCGAAAGACUAAUCGAACCAUCUA
rnacentral:rRNA from 1 species